rnacentral:lncRNA from 1 species
UAGUAAAAUAAUGAAAAGAAAAGAAAAAAGCAAAAGUUAUAAAAGAUAUAAAAGUAGUUAAGAGCUUCAAAAAGUGUGCAAAAACUUCGAACAUAGUUAAAGACAGAAAACAAACAUAAGAGAAAAAAAUCAAACCGCUAAAAAGAGAAACUAAAAUGAAACUAAAAUCAACCAAACAAACUAUCUAAAUUAUCCUAAAUCCUCGUACACACAAAUUUCCGGAGAGAGCAAAUUGAAAGAAAUUAUACAAAACCACAUGCACAAAA